UACGGAGGGUGCAAGCGUUAUCCGGAUUCACUGGGUUUAAAGGGUGUGUAGGCGGGCUGUUAAGUCAGUGGUGAAAUCUCCAGGCUCAACCUGGAAACUGCCAUUGAUACUAUCAGUCUUGAAUUUUGUUGAGGUAGGCGGAAUAUGUCAUGUAGCGGUGAAAUGCAUAGAUAUGACCCAGAACCCCGAUUGCGAAGGCAGGCUACUAGGACAUGAUUGACACUGAGGCACGAGAGCAUGGGGAGCGAACAGG
rnacentral:rRNA from 1 species